AGUGAACGCUGGCGGUAGGCCUAACACAUGCAAGUCGAACGGCAGCACAGUAAGAGCUUGCUCUUACGGGUGGCGAGUGGCGGACGGGUGAGGAAUACAUCGGAAUCUACUUUUUCGUGGGGGAUAACGUAGGGAAACUUACGCUAAUACCGCAUACGACCUACGGGUGAAAGCAGGAGAUCUUCGGACCUUGCGCGAUUGAAUGAGCCGAUGUCGGAUUAGCUAGUUGGCGGGGUAAAGGCCCACCAAGGCGACGAUCCGUAGCUGGUCUGAGAGGAUGAUCAGCCACACUGGAACUGAGACACGGUCCAGACUCCUACGGGAGGCAGCAGUGGGGAAUAUUGGACAAUGGGCGCAAGCCUGACCCAGCCAUACCGCGUGGGUGAAGAAGGCCUUCGGGUUGUAAAGCCCUUUUGUUGGGAAAGAAAAGCAGCAGGUUAAUACCCCGCUGUUCUGACGGUACCCAAAGAAUAAGCACCGGCUAACUUCGUG
rnacentral:rRNA from 1 species